GGAACCCUCAGUUUCAUAUUUUGGGGAAGUUCAUGGCCUCAUUUUGAGCUUGGCAAAAGCUAUAUUCCUUCCUCUUGGGAAAAGUGUAUAUAUGUAUCAAAUUUGACAUUGAAUUUCUUGAAUUAACAGAGCCCUGAAUCCCAUUCAUGGGCCUCAGUUUAAGAAUUCACAAUCUGGUCUAAAUCGUCAGGUUACUUUUGGAGAAGUUAAUACCAAGAGAGGGGAAGGAAAUAAUUUAGUCAAUCACUUGGCGACAGAAUCCAGGCCUUUCAAAUUUUUAUCUAGUUUUAUUUAAUCACCCAAUGGAUCUCCCGUAUGCAACUGUACACUGAGGAAAAAAAAAUGACACUCAGGAAAAGAAUGAAAGUCAAGGUGAAUGAACUUAACUGCUUUAAUUAUUUAAACCCCAAUUUCUAAGUUCAAGUUACUAUCAACUGUGAGGGUACUACCCUACAGAGUGGGGUAGAGCAUGCCAGUGAUUUUGACUCCUUCAGGUGUCUAUUCGCCCAAGAAUCUCAAAUUUCCAAGGCACCUCACCUCAUUUACUAAGAAGCAACUUCUACAUAGAAAGAAUCUACGACAUCAAUAUUCUAGCCUUGCCUCACGCCCUAUAGAUCAAUGGCUUGUUCUUAUCUGACAGCAUCCACUGACAUAUUUCCCUGGGAUCGAAGAAGGAAGAGAAGAAAUUGCAGGGAGUACCCUAACAAAGGGAGAAUCGGGUAAAAAAAACGAGACAGAAGGAUAGAGUUGCAUCCAUUAGGAGGUACAAAGGGACGGGAUCUAAAAUAUGACUGGAGAAACCAUUCUUAGAUAGCAGACCAGAAGGAAGAGGAAAGGUACAGAUGGAGGUGAGGUGGCUAAGGCUCAAGGAGAUGAAGUCACUUCCCCGGGCUCGCAGUGAACGAGGGAGCCGUAGUAAAAGCAGUAGAAAUGGCAGAUGCAGCCAAGAGGCAGUUGAGCAAAGCAAGAAUCGAAGCAGUAAGAGCAGCACCUAUUAUGGAAACCAUUUCAAUUCAUGUGGUGCUUCCUGGACACCUUCACUGCGUGAAUCAUUAUAUAUGCAUAAUUCUCUUUUAAUACAUGCGGCAGCUCUGUAAGAAUGGAAGCCAGCAUACUUAUGACCAUAAGGAUGACAGAUGCUCACUGGGGCAACUGAGCAGAAGCACAGGCACCUGGCAUCUGCUGGUAUCUUGGGGCUACUGCACUAUUCCUCAUCAGAGGAGUCCUCUGGACUGCUUUUUUGCACAAAAGUAACCCCUCAACUGCUUUUGUGAAUUUUUCUCUUGAAGCCAAAAGCAAUUCUCACUGAUAGGCUGGUAAUUUUUAAUUUUAAGACACAUAUGGAGAGAAAUGAAAAGUAGUAACCAGUAUAGUGAAUUCACCAUGAUUUCCUCUGAAGGAUGCACAAGGCUAUCACACUGGUGGCUAGGAUUCUCCAUGGAUCUGAACACCCUCAUGCAGGGGAAUGAGAAAGACUGCCUCCUCCUGGGAUUAAAGAGGCAAAUUGAAUGUAGACCUUCCAAAUCUCCUCCAGGAUGAGAUGGUCCAUAA
ensembl:lncRNA